rnacentral:rRNA from 1 species
UACAGAGGGUGCGAGCGUUGUCCGGAAUCACUGGGCGUAAAGGGCGCGUAGGCGGCUUGAUAAGGUUGCGGUGAAAGCCCGGGGCUCAACCCCGGGUCGGCCGUGGCAACUGUCGAGCUGGAGCACUGUAGAGGCAGGUGGAAUUCCGGGUGUAGCGGUGGAAUGCGUAGAGAUCCGGAAGAACACCGGUGGCGAAGGCGGCCUGCUGGGCAGUGGCUGACGCUGAGGCGCGACAGCGUGGGGAGCAA